UACGUAGGUGACCAGCGUUGUCCGGAUUUACUGGGCGUAAAGAGCGCGCAGGCGGUCGUUCAAGUCGAGUGUGAAAGCCCCCGGCUCAACUGGGGAGGGUCAUUCGAUACUGAUCGACUUGAAGGCAGGAGAGGGAAGUGGAAUUCCCGGUGUAGUGGUGAAAUGCGUAGAUAUCGGGAGGAAUACCAGUGGCGAAGGCGGCUUCCUGGCCUGUUCUUGACGCUGAGGCGCGAAAGCUAGGGUAGCAAACGGG
rnacentral:rRNA from 1 species